rnacentral:lncRNA from 1 species
UAGCGUUGGACUAGUGGAAACGUACAUUCAUCCAUCACAUUCAUUCAGGCUAUGGAAAGCGAGUAGACAUGCCAAACACUCAUAAACACAUAGCACAUAACAUUUAGCAUGCUCGACUAGAUGCAAGGCCCUAACAAAGCAAAUUAACACUUAACACGUAGGCAUGCCACCAAACUAAUGAACCUAUUACAUUCACUAACUAAAACAAAAGGGGAAAGGGAAAAUGGACCAAAUUGCUUGCCACAGCCCUAUCUAUUACAAGCCAAGAGGUGUACACAUACCCCAUUAAAAGAAUAACUUAAUGAAAACAAAAAGUAAAUGACAUAAGUAAAAGGAAUUAAAGAAAAGCUAGGAAAGCAAAGUAGACAUGUAUUUCUCACGUAGCACGUUGGUUCACAUAGGAGACACAAAAGGGAUAAAAGAAAAGUUAUACCUCCUUCACGAUGGUAAUCAAAUGAAGUAAAAAUGGUUUCAAAACAAUAAAAAGGUCAAGGUACCACUUUAUUUAAGAAAAAUUAAAAGAAAUAUGCAAAACAAAGCUUACUUGAUCAUAAAGUCCCUAAAGUCAUGACUUAAGCGCAAUUGAAACAAAGCACGGUAGUUAAUUGAAGCAAACAAGCAAUGAAGUUGCACAAAUUAAAAUUACCAAGGAUCAAAUUGAUGAAAUUAUUUAAUUGAUUGGGCCCUAGUAGCAUUAGUUGGAAGCCAAGGGGUCGAUUUGCAAUUUUUAGAAAUUAUUUCUUCAUGCAAAGCAUGCAUACGAAGAAGAUUUCUGCAAUUUAAAACCUGCUGCAACUAGAAUGUCGGCUGCGCUUUCAUCUUCAACCACAAAUUCCAGAAAACUAACUCAAGCUUUGAACAAACUCUCUCAAACCAAUGACCAAACUUUGAAUUAAACAACACAACACACAACUUGGAUAUUCAAACUAAUAAAACACAGCAAGAAAUGAUGCAAAAUCAAAUUGCAACAAGGUUUCAACAAGCAUAUGAAGCUUUCGGCAAAACCGAAGCUUUCUUUGCUUCUGUAAUUUUCGAAUGAAGAUUUUCUGCAAUUCGACACCUUGUCAAACCAGCUUUCAAACAUAAACAAGUCCAAACACAAGGCUUUAAACUAGGCAGCAAACCAUCAUCCAAUCCAACAGAAAACUUAACAAGAUCCAGUGCAAAAAAAAAAAA